CUUUUUCUGUCUGCCUACCUUUCUACUCCAUUACGGUUUUCCACCAUUUUCCAAUUUCCACAAAGGCAUUUUACUUAGCGUUCACUUUGUACGUUUCGAGAGCGAGACAAUCAUAGUUUAAUCAUAUUGCGACUGGUUUUAUCUUAAUUAUAAAUAUUUAAUAUCUGUUCAACAGAUAGCGAAAAAUACUGAAAUACGAUCCAGUUUAGUUCAUUUCACGCUCAAACACCUACAGCGAGUAGUGUUUAACGUACAAAAUAUCUGUUAUAAGCAAUAUUACAAAUGUACUACAAUUGUAUUGAUACGGCAUUUUAAGGACAAAUAGUGAAUAGUGCAUGUAUAGAUUCUUAGGUCUGCAACGAAGCCAAAGAAAAAAUAAUUUAAG